rnacentral:rRNA from 1 species
CGCGCAGGUGGUUUCUUAAGUCUGAUGUGAAAGCCCACGGCUCAACCGUGGAGGGUCAUUGGAAACUGGGAGACCUGAGUGCAGAAGAGGAUAGUGGAAUUCCAAGUGUAGCGGUGAAAUGCGUAGAGAUUUGGAGGAACACCAGUGGCGAAGGCGACUGUCUGGUCUGUAACUGACACUGAGGCGCGAAAGCGUGGGAGCAAACA